UACGGAGGAUGCGAGCGUUAUCCGGAUUUACUGGGUGUAAAGGGCGUGUAGGCGGGAUGGUAAGUCAGAUGUGAAAACUAUGGGCUCAACCCAUAGCCUGCAUUUGAAACUAUCGUUCUUGAGUGUUGGAGAGGUAAGCGGAAUUCCUAGUGUAGCGGUGAAAUGCGUAGAUAUUAGGAGGAACACCAGUGGCGAAGGCGGCUUACUGGACCAUAACUGACGCUGAGGCUCGAAAGCGUGGGGAGCGAACAGG
rnacentral:rRNA from 1 species